CGAACGGGUGAGUAACACGUGAGCAACCUGCCCCGAAGACCGGGAUAACAGUGGGAAACCGCUGCUAAUACCGGAUGCCCUUCUAUGGUCGCAUGGCCUAAGAAGGAAAUGAAUUUCGCUUCGGGAGGGGCUCGCGGGCUAUCAGCUUGUUGGUGGGGUAACGGCUUCCCAAGGCGACGACGGGUAGCUGGUCUGAGAGGAUGGCCAGCCACAUUGGGACUGAGAUACGGCCCAG
rnacentral:rRNA from 1 species